rnacentral:rRNA from 1 species
GACAGAGGGUGCAAACGUUGUUCGGAAUUACUGGGCGUAAAGCGUGUGUAGGCGGUCCUCUAAGUCGGAUGUGAAAUCCCUGGGCUCAACCCAGGAAGUGCACUCGAAACUGGAGGGCUAGAGUAUCGGAGAGGUUGGUGGAAUUCUCGGUGUAGAGGUGAAAUUCGUAGAUAUCGAGAGGAACACCGGUGGCGAAGGCGGCCAACUGGACGAAUACUGACGCUGAGGCGCGAAAGCUAGGGGAGCAAACAGG